GUACACUCCUGCGGGAGGCAGCAGUGGGGAAUUUUGGACAAUGGGCGAAAGCCUGAUCCAGCAAUGCCGCGUGUGUGAAGAAGGCCUUCGGGUUGUAAAGCACUUUUGUCCGGAAAGAAAUCCUUGGCUCUAAUACAGUCGGGGGAUGACGGUACCGGAAGAAUAAGCACCGGCUAACUACGUGCCAGCAGCCGCGGUAAUACGUAGGGUGCGAGCGUUAAUCGGAAUUACUGGGCGUAAAGCGUGCGCAGGCGGUUUGCUAAGACCGAUGUGAAAUCCCCGGGCUCAACCUGGGAACUGCAUUGGUGACUGGCAGGCUAGAGUAUGGCAGAGGGGGGUAGAAUUCCACGUGUAGCAGUGAAAUGCGUAGAGAUGUGGAGGAAUACCGAUGGCGAAGGCAGCCCCCUGGGCCAAUACUGACGCUCAUGCACGAAAGCGUGGGGAGCAAACAGGAUUAGAUACCCGGGUAGUCCCAUGA
rnacentral:rRNA from 1 species